GUCCCCUUCGGGGGGCGAGUAGAGUGGCGCACGGGGAGUAACACGUAGGUAAUCUACCUCUGGGUGGGGAAUAACAGCCGGAAACGGCUGCUAAUACCGCAUAAUGCAGCGGCACCACAUGGUGACAGUUGUUAAAGCGGGGGAUCGUAAGACCUCGCGCCUAGAGAUGAGCCUGCGGCGGAUUAGCUAGUUGGCAGGGUAACGGCCUACCAAGGCGACGAUCCGUAGCCGGCCUGAGAGGGCGGACGGCCACACUGGCACUGACAUACGGGCCAGACUCCUACGGGAGGCAGCAGUCGGGAAUUUUGGGCAAUGGGCGAAAGCCUGACCCAGCAACGCCGCGUGAAGGAUGAAGCUUUUCGGAGUGUAAACUUCAUAAGAAUGGGACGAAUAAGGAGGGGUUAACACCCCCUUUGAUGACGGUACCAUUUGUAAGCUCCGGCUAACUCCGUGCCAGCAGCCGCGGUAAUACGGGGGGAGCAAGCGUUGUUCGGAUUUACUGGGCGUAAAGGGCGCGUAGGCGGCGCAACAAGUCACUUGUGAAAUCUCCGGGCUUAACCCGGAGCGGCCAAGUGAUACUGUCGUGCUAGAGUGCGGAAGGGGCUACUGGAAUUCUCGGUGUAGCGGUGAAAUGCGUAGAUAUCGAGAGGAACACCUGCGGCGAAGGCGGGUAGCUGGGCCGACACUGACGCUGAGGCGCGAAAGCCAGGGGAGCGAACGGGAUUAGAUACCCCGGUAGUCCUGGCCUUAAACGAUGGAUGCUUGGUGUCCGGGGUUACAUAGUCCCCGGGUGCCGGCGCUAACGCA
rnacentral:rRNA from 1 species